GACGAACGCUGGCGGCGUGCUUAACACAUGCAAGUCGAACGGAAAGGCCCUGCUGUUGUGGGGUGCUCGAGUGGCGAACGGGUGAGUAACACGUGAGUAACCUGCCCUUGACUUUGGGAUAACUUCAGGAAACUGGGGCUAAUACCGGAUAGGAGCUCCUGCUGCAUGGUGGGGGUUGGAAAGUUUCGGCGGUUGGGGAUGGACUCGCGGCUUAUCAGCUUGUUGGUGGGGUAGUGGCUUACCAAGGCUUUGACGGGUAGCCGGCCUGAGAGGGUGACCGGCCACAUUGGGACUGAGGUACGGCCCAGACUCCUACGGGAGGCAGCAGUGGGGAAUAUUGCACAAUGGGCGGAAGCCUGAUGCAGCAACGCCGCGUGCGGGAUGACGGCCUUCGGGUUGUAAACCGCUUUCGCCUGUGACGAAGCGUGAGUGACGGUAAUGGGUAAAGAAGCACCGGCUAACUACGUG
rnacentral:rRNA from 1 species